GCAACGCCAGAUCUGAGCAGUGUGUAUGACUACACUCUGUAGCUCCGAUUAGACUCCUAGCCUGGGAAUCUCCAUAUGCCGCAGGUGCAGCCCUAAGAAGACAAAAAUAAAUAAAUUUAUAGUCAUACAGGCUCAAAUGCAUUCUAAAAGUCUAGAUGUCUUAUUUUCCUCUACAUUUUAUGAUUUUUUUGAUGUAGAAUCUUUUAUUUUGUGUGUUGUGUUUUAGUGAUUUUUAUUUUUUCCAUUAUCGUUGGUGUACAGUGUUCUGUCAAUUUUUUGCUGUACAGCAAAGUGACCCAGUCACACAUAUAUACAUACAUAGAUUCUUUUUCUCACAUUAUCCUCCGUAAUGCUCCAUCAUAAGUGACUAGAUACAGUUCCUAAUGCUAUAUGGCAGCAUUUUAUGAUUUUGAUGUCCUUUUUUACAUCUUCAUAUUUAUCCUUUUUGCUAUUCCUUGUGUUUAUCAUCAUCACUUUCACAAAUAGGUUUUUUUUUUUUUUAAUCUGUAUAUUGGCUUAAGUGACUACUUUCUAAUAUGAUUUCCUCCAUCCUGUAUCUUCUUACUUCUUUCCUAUUUAGAGGAGAACUUCCAGUAUUUCUUUUAGGAUAAGUUUUGUAUUGCUGUAUUCUUUUAGUUUUUAUUUGUCUGAGAAUUUCUUGAUUUCCUUUUCUAUUUUAAAUGAUAAUCUUGCUGAGUAGAGUAUUUUGUGUUGCGAAUUUUUCCCUUUUAGAACUUGAAUAGGAGUUCCCUUCGUGGCUCCACAGUUAAGGAACCAACUAGGAUCCAUGAGGAUGCGGGUUCAAUCCCUGGCCUCUCUCAGUGGGUUAAGGAUUUGGUGUUGCCAUGAGCUAUGUUGUAGGUUGUAGAUGUGGCUCAGAUCCUGAGUUGCUGUUGCGUAGACUGGUAGCUACAGCUCCAAUUGGACCCCUAGCCUGGAAACUUCCAUAUGCCGCAAAUACGGCCCUAAAAUGCAAAAAAAAAAAAAACAAAAACAAAAA
rnacentral:lncRNA from 9 species